GGUAGUCCACCCCGUAAACGUUGGGAACUAGUUGUGGGGACCAUUCCACGGUUUCCGUGACGCAGCUAACGCAUUAAGUUCCCCGCCUGGGGAGUACGGCCGCAAGGCUAAAACUCAAAGGAAUUGACGGGGACCCGCACAAGCGGCGGAGCAUGCGGAUUAAUUCGAUGUAACGCGAAGAACCUUACCAAGGCUUGACAUAUACGAGAACGGGCCAGAAAUGGUCAACUCUUUGGACACUCGUAAACAGGUGGUGCAUGGUUGUCGUCAGCUCGUGUCGUGAGAUGUUGGGUUAAGUCCCGCAACGAGCGCAACCCUCGUUCUAUGUUGCCAGCACGUAAUGGUGGGAACUCAUGGGAUACUGCCGGGGUCAACUCGGAGGAAGGUGGGGAUGACGUCAAAUCAUCAUGCCCCUUAUGUCUUGGGCUUCACGCAUGCUACAAUGGCCGGUACAAAGGGCUGCAAUACCGUGAGGUGGAGCGAAUCCCAAAAAGCCGGUCCCAGUUCGGAUUGAGGUCUGCAACUCGACCUCAUGAAGUCGGAGUCGCUAGUAAUCGCAGAUCAGCAACGCUGCGGUGAAUACGUUCCCGGGUCUUGUACACACCGCCCGUCAAGUCAUGAAAGUCGGUAACACCUGAAGCCGGUGGCCCAACCCUUGUGGAGGGAGCCGUCGAAGGUGGGAUCGGUAAUUAGGACUAAGUCGUAACAAGGUAGCCGUACCGGAAGAUGC
rnacentral:rRNA from 1 species